rnacentral:rRNA from 1 species
UACGUAGGGGGCAAGCGUUGUCCGGAUUUAUUGGGCGUAAAGCGCUCGCAGGUGGUUCGUCGCGUCGUGCGUGAAAGACCCCGGCUCAACUGGGGAGUGUCGUGCGAUACGGGCGAACUGGAGGCCAGUAGGGGGAUGCGGAAUUCCGGGUGUAGUGGUGGAAUGCGUAGAGAUCCGGAGGAACACCAGCGGCGAAGGCGGCAUCCUGGACUGGUCCUGACACUCAGGAGCGAAAGCGUGGGGAGCGAGCCGG